UAAGGAAUAUUGCUCAAUGGCCGAAAGGCUGAAGCAGCAACGCCGCGUGGAGGAUGAAAUACUUUUGUAUGUAAACUCCUGUAAGAGGGGAAAAAUAUACAGUUUAUACUGUGUUGAUUGUACCCUCAGAGUAAGCACCGGCUAACUACGUG
rnacentral:rRNA from 1 species